rnacentral:rRNA from 1 species
UACGAAGGGGGCGAGCGUUGUUCGGAAUUACUGGGCGUAAAGGGCGCGCAGGCGGCUCUGAAAGUCAGAUGUGAAAGUCCAGGGCUCAACCCUGGAAUGCCGGUGGAUACUGUGGGGCUAGAGUCCGGAAGGGGCGAGUGGAAUUCCUGGUGUAGCGGUGAAAUGCGCAGAUAUCAGGAGGAACACCAAUGGCGAAGGCAGCUCGCUGGGACGUGACUGACGCUGAGACGCGAAAGCGUGGGGAGCAAACAGG